rnacentral:rRNA from 1 species
UACGGGGGGGGGCAAGCGUUGUUCGGAAUUACUGGGCGUAAAGGGCUCGUAGGCGGCCAACUAAGUCGGAUGUGAAAUCCCCAGGCUUAACCUGGGAACUGCAUCCGAUACUGGAUGGCUUGAAUCCGGGAGAGGGAUGCAGAAUUCCAGGUGUAGCGGUGAAAUGCGUAGAUAUCUGGAGGAAUACCGGUGGCGAAGGCGGCAUCCUGGACAACACCUGACACUGAGGCACGAAAGCCAGGGGAGCAAACGGG